rnacentral:rRNA from 1 species
CCUACGGGUGGCAGCAGUGAGGAAUAUUGGUCAAUGGCCGAGAGGCUGAACCAGCCAAGUCGCGUGAGGGAAGACGGCCCUCCGGGUUGUAAACCUCUUUUGUAGGGGAGCAAAUCGAGUAACGUGUGUCUCCUUGAGAGUACACGAAGAAACAGCAUCGGCUAACCUCGUGCCAGCAGACGCGGUAAGAUGGAGGAUGCGAGCGUUACCCUGAUUUGUUGGGUUUAAAGGGUGCGAAGGCGGAGGUGAAAGUUAGCGGUAAUAUUGCGGGGCUCAACCCCGUACUGCCGUUGAAACUGCAUCCCUUGAGUGCGCGAGAAGUAUGCGGAAUGCGUGGUGUAGCGGUGAAAUGCAUAGAUAUCACGCAGAACUCCGAUUGCGAAGGCAGCAUACCGGCGCGCAACUGACGCUCAUGCACGAAAGCGUGGGUAUCGAACAGGAUUAGAUACCCUUGUAGUC